UUUUAUUUGAGAGUUUGAUCCUGGCUCAGGAUGAACGCUGGCGGCGUGCCUAACACAUGCAAGUUGAGCGAUUUACUUCGGUAAAGAGCGGCGGACGGGUGAGUAACGCGUGGGUAACCUACCCUGUACACACGGAUAACAUACCGAAAGGUAUGCUAAUACGGGAUAAUAUAUUUGAGAGGCAUCUCUUGAAUAUCAAAGGUGAGCCAGUACAGGAUGGACCCGCGUCUGAUUAGCUAGUUGGUAAGGUAACGGCUUACCAAGGCGACGAUCAGUAGCCGACCUGAGAGGGUGAUCGGCCACAUUGGAACUGAGACACGGUCCAAACUCCUACGGGAGGCAGCAGUGGGGAAUAUUGCACAAUGGGCGAAAGCCUGAUGCAGCAACGCCGCGUGAGUGAUGAAGGCCUUCGGGUCGUAAAACUCUGUCCUCAAGGAAGAUAAUGACGGUACUUGAGGAGGAAGCCCCGGCUAACUACGUGCCAGCAGCCGCGGUAAUACGUAGGGGGCUAGCG
rnacentral:rRNA from 1 species